GGGAGGGCCGCAGGUGGGGCUGCCUGCCCUUCCCGGGACCCGCGGCCCUGGGCAAGGGCCAGGCCCCUUCACACCGGGUUUUGGGCUGUGGUUCUCACCCGAGGACAGGGCUGCGGCUGCCUGGCCGUGCCUGGGUGAGCUGGCAGUGCUUCAGGGCCCAGGGGGUGGCGGAGGUGGUUCCCACUGUGGGAAAGCUUGGGAAGCCCUAAUGUAAGCCACUGCCAAACCUUCGGGUCAUCAGAUGGUGCUCUAGACACCUGCUGACUCCAAAGUCACCACUCAGCCUGAUUCCCGAUGCUCCUGUCUCUUUGGGUGCUGGUGAGGCAGGGGCUGUAUGGAGCCUGGGGCAUGUACAGAGUCUCUGGAGGAGCCACAACAGCAAAGCUUGAGAAGCCCUCCCUUUAAGACUGGAGGUUUUGUCAAGCUUAAGCUUCUACAUGGCCACAGGUUACCAAGGCUAAUAUUUCAGGACUGGGAAUACAAACAGAAGAUCCAAAUUCGCUCCUGCUCCUUGGGCUCCUGUGAUAUCAAGACUGCAGUUUAAGAGAAGUUAUCAGAAUUAAGCAUUGAAUGUGAUUGUGGGUGGAAUGCAUUGGGUAUGUAACAGUAUAAUUUAUGUAUACUGUAGUACAAAUAACAUGCAGUGUGCUGGGUGCAGCACAGCUCCUCUGUUAGCUUCUGAAGGUGUAUGCUCUGACGUGUGAAGAAUUUUACAUCUGAAAAAUGAUGUGACUGAGAAUGAGCAUGAGGAAUGAUGGUGUUGUCUCCCCAACCAAGAUGAAAGGAAGCAGGUUAACAAAUCGAGUAAUAGGAAAAAAUUGUGCCAGUCUUUGCAGGUCAUCCUCAAUAACUCUUCUUGUUUGAUUUGCUUGCUCUUGUUAUAUAUGCUAGAACAGAUCAUAUGUUGUCUAUUAACCAUGCUAGGAAUGUCCCAGGCCCCUGCAGUCUUUUUUCAUAUCAGUCUCGGAAAAUCCUCCAAAUAUUCUUCCCUUUGAAUUAAUCCCUGACUGCCUCUGUUUGCCUGGAAUGUGAGUGAUAUGAACUGAGCUCUUGACUCAUCGAUGCACUAUGCAGGGAGGGCAUUUUUGAUUUUAUUUUUAUUGCUUGUCACUUGAGGUCACUCCCUCAACCAUUACUUUCCGGUUAAAUAAAUCCUCUGAAUGUUUUCCUCCUUGUUGGAUUUCUGAGCUAUGAUGCCCAAACAUUUGAACAUUCAUUUUCUUGGAUUAAAUAGUAACUAUUUACUGCUUAUGCUUCUAUGCUCAGAGGAAGCUGUUCUUUAUCCUCUGUACAAUCCAACGGGAAUGUUUCUUGUGACUGAGCACCUUUCCCUUGAAUCAAUAUAAAAAUGUUACCCAAAGGUGCAGCAGGUUAACCUCACAGAAGAAAAGAGUAUUCUUAGGAACUGUUGCUGGAAUGGGUAGAAAUACUUGAAUAGAUAAUAGUAGUCUCUGGUCCUUAGUUCUCUUUUGGAAAGCAUUACCCCACAACAAAUGAAAUGGAGCCAACAUAACCAUUUAAAAUAGAAAAGUAAACAGUUCAUGUCGUAGUCAAGAUAAUCCUUAAUUUCUGCUGCUUAUCUGAGAUCUGCUCUGCUGAUCUGAUGGGAGGAUUUAACCUUCCUGAAAGCUGUUAUCAGUGUAUGUGCUUGAACUGGGAAGACCUCUUUCCACCUGCUUUUCAGAGCCCUUUCUCCUAGGAGAUUAAUGCUGCUGUGCUCCUUUUAGAAAGGAAAACCUCUGAAAUAUAGAUUAUUUUUAGAGAGCUAUACUAGGAAUAUUUUGCUACAAUACAGCUUAAGGAAAAUACUUAAAAAAUAAUGCCUAUUUAAAAGAUCUUUUUUUUUUCUUUCCUGAAGAACCUUGUUGUCUUAAAUUCAAAUAAUUUUUGUCUUGUGAAAGAACAUGUAUAGUUGUGGAAAUUAAAAAGAGAAUAUUUGGGUUAUGGUUACUGCUGGUUGUGUAACCAACUCAAAAUAAAAGCUAUGGGGAAUUUUAAUUUCAAAUUUCUUUGCUCUGUGUGGAAACCAUUUUGUAAUUUUCUGUUUCUCUUGGGAUACUGUGUGAAACACAGAAUGGCAGAGCAGAUGGCGUGUCUUCUCUUUCCAAAGAGACGAGUAAUAUCACUCUGUUCAAAGGAGAAGUCUAAAGGCAGUAUCACUGGGAUAUGGGAAAGCCCAGUCUAACAUCUGGAGCAAUACAAAAAUCAGUGUCAGUUUAACAGGUUUAAUGUACAGUGCUUUUCCCAAGCAAAUGGUUGUGGGUUUGAUGCUAUUUUUACUACAUUUCUUAUGGCUGAUUUUAAAUUUAAAAAAAAAAAAAAAGUCUGUCUUUAGAUUAAGACUCUCUGGUGUACCUGUGCCAGUGGGAGGAGGGAAGAGAAUCAGUGGGUAAAAUGUCUCAGGCUUAGUCAUAGUAGGAGCAAGGAGUAAUGGCCUGAAUUAUGCAGCAAAAGUUCUCAGAAUAGCGAGUGAGUCACUAUUGGCCUUGAACUUUCUGGAUCUGAAACUAUAUUUAUCAUUUUGCAUUGUUCCCAAGCUGUGUAUUUGUAGUCCCACACACAGAGCAGCUUGCAUUUUCUGCCCUCACGAGCUAAAACACAGACAGGGUAAUUUCCAGGGAGAGAAGUGGAAGAUCAAUUUCUUUAGGUGAAUAUUAAGAAAAGCUUUAAGGAAGAAUACCUGCAGUGGAGACAACUAAUGUACUGAUGUGAAGGCAAUACUAAAAGGUUAAAUAAAGGAAUAAGGCAACAGCGUACAAAGUGAAAAAAAAUAGAGAAAAGGAGUAAAAUCAUAUAGUUCCUGUAGGGUCAAGUAUCAUGGGGUGCUGUUUUGAGAGGCAAAUAUUUUUGUGAAUGUAUUUUUGUGAAUUUCUUUUUCUUUUCCUUCUCACCACCUUAUUUGCAACGUUCUGAACAGAAACCAGAGCACUGAAAGAUCCAGAUCAUUACAUAUUUCAUUCUUCCACUUC